GAUGAACGCUGGCGGCGUGCCUAAUACAUGCAAGUCGAGCGAACAGACGAGGAGCUUGCUCCUCUGACGUUAGCGGCGGGCGGGUGAGUAACACGUGGAUAACCUACCUAUAAGACUGGGAUAACUUCGGGAAACCGGAGCUAAUACCGGAUAACAUGUUGAACCGCAUGGUUCAACAGUGAAAGACGGUCUUGCUGUCACUUAUAGAUGGAUCCGCGCCGCAUUAGCUAGUUGGUAAGGUAACGGCUUACCAAGGCAACGAUGCGUAGCCGACCUGAGAGGGUGAUCGGCCACACUGGAACUGAGACACGGUCCAGAGUCCUACGGGAGGCAGCAGUAGGGAAUCGUCGGCAAUGGGCGAAAGCCUGACGGAGCAACGCCGCGUGAGUGAAGAAGGUCUUCGGAUCGUAAAACUCUGUUAUUAGGGAAGAACAAAUGUGUAAGUAACUAUGCACGUCUUGACGGUACCUAAUCAGAAAGCCACGGCUAACUACGUG
rnacentral:rRNA from 1 species